UACGUAGGGUGCGAGCGUUGUCCGGAAUUAUUGGGCGUAAAGGGCUCGUAGGCGGUUUGUCGCGUCGGGAGUGAAAUCCACUGGCUUAACUGGUGGCUUGCUUUCGAUACGGGCAGACUGGAGGUAUGCAGGGGAGAACGGAAUUCCCGGUGUAGUGGUGGAAUGCGUAGAUAUCGGGAGGAACAUCAGUGGCGAAAGCGGCACCCUGGCAUUAGCCUGACGCUCAGGUGCGAAAGCGUGGGGAGCGAACGGG
rnacentral:rRNA from 1 species